rnacentral:snRNA from 1 species
GUGCUCAUUUUGGCAGCACAUAUACUAAAUAAUACAGAGAAGAUUAGUAUGGCCCCUGCACAAGGGUGACACACAAACUCAUGAAGCGUUCCAUACUUAC